rnacentral:rRNA from 1 species
GAGUUUGAUCUUGGCUCAGAUUGAACGCUGGCGGCAUGCCUAACACAUGCAAGUCGAACGGCAGCACUGGGAGCUUGCUCCCUGGUGGCGAGUGGCGGACGGGUGAGUAACGCGUAGGAAUCUGCCUCAUAGCGGGGGACAACUCGGGGAAACUCGAGCUAAUACCGCAUACUACUCGAGAGAGGAAAGCAGGGGACCUUCGGGCCGUUGUCACUAUGAGAUGAGCCUGCGUUGGA